CGUUCCCGGGCCUUGUACACACCGCCCGUCACGUCAUGAAAGUCGGUAACACCCGAAGCCGGUGGCCUAACCCCUCGCGGGAGGGAGCCGUCGAAGGUGGGAUCGGCGAUUGGGACG
rnacentral:rRNA from 1 species